rnacentral:sRNA from 1 species
CGUAAAUUAUUCGCUCUAGCAGAUAUUCAUAAGCAAG